UGCCCACAACCUGCUCUCCCUGGGGCUGCCAGUUCCCAGAAAAGACAUGAUCUCUUCCUUUGAGCAAAGGGAAGCCCCAUGGAUGCUGGAGCCAGAAGGCCUGAGGAGCUGCUGUCCAGAAGGAGAGAUCAGACUGGAAAUGAAGGAAACUGCUGCAGAUCUAACCCUUUCUGUGGAAGAAACU